UUUUCCUUCCAGUUGUCUCCAUGACCCUGAAACAGCUCUUUCACUUGGGCAGGAGGAAGAGCCCCAGAUGUAAGCCUCCCUCGGACACUUCUGGUCUGCAGGGGAGUUACGCACUGGAAGCGGAAACGCCCGCUUCCGCUGGACGCAAGAAGGCCUCACACUAGGCCCUGGAGCCUGCAGGGAGGAAUCUCCGCUGUGAUACUGUGAAGACUAUAUCUAGGUCCAUCAAGUCAUGAUUUCCAGGGCUGCCGAAUGGACGGUCAUCACCAUCAUCAUGAGCGUGUAAGUGUUUACUGUGUACCAGGCACGAAUCACUUCAUACAGAUGGACUCACUGAAUCCUCGUGACCACUCUGCGAGACGGGUACUGGUUAUUCCCAUUUCUCAGAUGAGGACGCUGGGGCACAGAGAUGAUGCGUAAUGCGUUCAAGAUCGCAUGAAGUCCAUCCUUUCCAGCUUGAUUAUGGAGCCCUUUCUAUGAGCCUUUCUUCUAUUUCAUGACGCUCCAUCCUCCUUCAUAUUUCCCUGUCUUUGUGCCUGGGACCUGGCAUGUUGUGAUUCCAUCAUUGUUACGUCUUCAUUCAUCAAGACUCUGUCCCCAAACCAUUUUCUCCGUGAGAACUCAAAACUCCUCAGACAGAGUUGGCCGCUCCCACCUCUGUGAUGAUUCUAAACCUUGUACACACCUGCCCUGCUAUGGGACAGUUCCUGCUUUAUUUCACAAUGGAGCAGUUUUUUUUUCAUUAACAGUUAAGGCAGAAGUGGACUUGGCUUCCUCUUGACCCCUUUUAAAAUUGUCUGAAAAUUAAGUAUCACCAGUGUCCAAGCAAGGACACAUCCCUAUUGAAUUUUAGGCGGCUAUUUGUUUAUAACUUAAUAUAUUCAUAUUUUUAGGUUAGAGAACUAGCUCUUACCCAUAUUCUCUAAGAAUGUAAUAAGAGCUACUUGCCUUUUAAAAUUAUUGAUGUGUUAGGAUUUAGGUUGGAAUCUUCUGUGGUUUUAUAAAAAUUACCCGUCAUUGAUUGAGCGCAAACAGAAGACGAGUGGGAAGGAGGUGGUCCACGCAGCUACGGCUGCCUGGACUUGGGCCGUUACCUGCUGG